UGGAAUGUAGUGAAGUGCGUUG
rnacentral:miRNA from 1 species